UGCAAUGAUGCACUGAGCACCAGCAAAACCCUGGAUCAGUGGUACUUGAUGAUAUGCAAGAAGGCACGCUAGAAAAGGAAAGCAACAAAUGCAUAGAACAGUCUCAUUUAUUCUGUGUGAAGGAAAGCUAAAGGGGGAGGACCAUGACCCAUCACAUGAAGAGAUGCUGACAGAUGUAAGGGAAUGUGUGUGGACAUUUGGUUAUUCUGUGAUGGUGAAAGUAAGUUGGCUGAUGAGGCCAAUCCAGUUGCUGUAUCAUUCUCACAUUUAGAACUUGUUUGGAAAGGACAGAGGAACAAAGAUUCCAGCAAGAAACAAAAACUACUCGACUACUAUCUUCUCAGUGUUUCUCUUCAAAAGAAAAAUUCAAG
ensembl:lncRNA